CUCUACAGCCAAUUACCAACACGGGAUCCUCCAGCGGUUUCGCCCACAUAAUAUUUGUUUCACUCAUACUUCGCUCUCUCAUUUUCUCUCUUUCUGAAACCCUUUUAAGCCAGCGAAAAGAAAACAACGAAGAAAAAACCUAACCCUAGAUUUCCUCUCUCUCUCUCCCACCCCCCCCCAAUGGCCGGCGACGAAGCCCUAGACUCCAAUCUCAAGCAUCGCCGUUCUUCCUCCGACGAUGAGACGGCUGAGAAGUCUUCGAAACGCCACAAGCACCGACAUAAUCAUCGCCACCACCACCGCCAUCAUCGCCACUCGAGCAGGAAGCGUGAAGGGGAAAGUAAACUCGCCGCUGAGGAUAGCGCAGCUCCUAAGCUUCCCGUGCCUGCGGCUGGUAAUUCCCGGCCCGAUGACGAUGUUGAGGAAGGGGAAAUUCUCGACGAGGACGGUGGUGGGGGCGAUGACAUGGUUGCGAAGAAGAAAACAAGCAGCUCUGGUGUCGAGUCUGGUGAAAUUGACGCAAUUGGAGUUGGUGAUCAAUUUGAUAAGCGGAAUCUGGGACUUGGUGUUGACAAUGGCUCAGCUCACAGGGAAGCUAAUAUAUCAGGAAAAGGAAAUUUGAAAAAGUUGGGCGAUUACCGGAGUGAUGAUGAUUUGCUUCCUAAGUCGUCGGAUGAAGACCACUAUCGUGAGACCACAGGUAGCUCUGGGGUUCGUGCCAAUGGGGUCUUGAGCUACCAAUCUGAGGAAAAGAGGCAUCAGGGGGAAUCGGGGUCCCCUUCUAAAGGAAGUGGCAAGCAAAACCGUUACUAUGAUGAAGAAAAAGUGGAGGUUGAGAAAAGCAGAUUAGGCAAUCGAUGGAAGUCAUCCUCUGAGAGUACUGGGGACAAGAGCAAGCCUUUGGUGCAUUCACCAUCUCAUGGAAGAUACCAUGAUGAACCGGACGAUGGGAGUAUGUCAAGGUCUUAUGAUCACAUGAGAGAGAGAUCUAGUUCACGCAGUGUAAUGGAAGAGGAGGCUCUUUCUAAAAGGAGACGCUAUCAUGAAGAGGGUGCCACAUUUUAUGAUAGUAAAAGAAAGAUUGAAUGUGACAUGGAUGAUGGUAGAACAGUUCGCCAUCAUGACAUUCUUGAUGUGGCUAGGGAUGAGGGUAGGGAACAUGGUACUAGUUAUAGCACCAGAUAUAAUGUAGAAGGCAGACAUCAUAGCAGGGAUAGAAGGGAUAGAGAAAGAAGCAGGGAGAGGGAGGUGGACAGAAAUCAAAGAAGGGAGAAAGAAACAAGGAGCAGGGGCAGAGAGAUGGAUAGAGAUUGGAGAAAGGAUAAAGAUAGUGAAAGGAGUAGGGACAGGGGUUUGGACAGGGACAGGAGAAGGGAGAAGACAAUAGAUUGGAGCAGGGACGUGGAGAUGGAUAGAGCCAGAAAAAGGGAGAAGGAAAGAGAUAGGAGCAGGGACAGGGUAAACACCGUUGAUAGAGACAGAGAUAUUGAGAGGGAAAGGGAGAAGGAGAGAGACAGAUAUAGUGAUAGAGUUAUGGACCGGAAACGGGAGAGACGAGAUGAUGGAUAUAGAGACAAGGGAAGGGACAGGGAGAAGGACAGAUAUGAAAAUUCUGAGGACAUCCAAGGUGGACGAGAUAGGUAUAAACAUUCCAGGAACUGGAGACAUGAGGAAAGGGAUAAUGACCAGCACAGAACACGUAAUAGUGAAAGAGCUACAGCUCAGAAGUCAAAAGGUGAUGCUUUGGAAUUGGGUGAAGACAAAUUAAAAAGAGAUGAUGAAGAACAAGAAGACUAUGAAGAGAGGUCCAUAUUGCAACUUCAUGACCAGGAAGAGGACGAUCUCAACAGAAUCAAGGAGGAGAGUCGAAGGAGAAGACAGGCAAUCUUAGAGAAGUAUAAGAAUCAGCAUUUACAGCAACAAGUCGAGGUGAAGGGCCUGUCAGAGGAUGCAGAGAAAGAAAAAAGGCCAGCUGAUAAUCCAGGCCAAUCGACAGCUGCUCUCCAUUAUAGUCCUGACAAUAUUGAUGGUAGGGGUGAUGAAAUUGACAAGCCUGUUGCUGAACCAUCAUUUUCCGUAGGGAAGUCACCUCCUUCCAAUGGAGUUUCUGCAUCUGGUCAAACUGUUGGUGCUCGUGGGCUUGGAGAUGGUACUCCAAAGAGCGAGAGAUCAGGCGACAUGUUCUGUGAUGAUAUUUUUGGUGAGACCCCGACUGGAGUUCGUAAAGCUGGCAAAGGAGAUGGUUUACGGAUUGAAAGGAGUGGUCUUCAUGACAACUGGGAUGAUGCUGAAGGGUACUACAGCUACAGGUUUGGUGAAUUACUUGAUGGUCGGUAUGAAAUUAUUUCUUCUCAUGGGAAAGGUGUUUUUUCAACAGUAGUUCGUGCAAAGAAUGUUAAAUCUGGAAGUGGUGAACCAGAAGAAGUGGCAAUUAAAAUUAUACGUAAUAAUGACACUAUGUACAAAGCUGGUUUAACUGAGCUGGUUAUAUUAAAGAAAUUAGUAGGUCAAGAUCCUGAGAACAAACGCCAUUGUGUUCGUUUUCUAUCAAGUUUCAAGUAUCGGAAUCAUCUUUGUUUAGUUUUUGAGUCUCUUCAUAUGAAUCUGCGUGAGGUUUUAAAGAAGUUUGGACGCAAUAUUGGUCUUAAGUUGACUGCUGUUAGAGCAUAUGCAAAGCAACUCUUUAUUGCACUGAAGCAUCUAAAGAAUUGUGGUGUUCUUCAUUGCGAUAUCAAGCCUGAUAACAUGCUGGUAAAUGAGGCAAAAAAUGUUCUGAAGCUUUGUGAUUUUGGUAAUGCCAUGUUUGCUGGUAAAAAUGAAAUCACACCCUACCUUGUUAGCAGAUUUUAUCGUGCUCCUGAAAUAAUUCUUGGCCUGCCUUAUGAUCAUCCCCUUGAUAUUUGGUCUGUGGGUUGUUGUUUGUAUGAGCUCUAUACUGGAAAAGUACUUUUUCCAGGUGCUACAAAUAAUGAUAUGCUACGCCUUCACAUGGAGCUGAAAGGCCCUUUUCCAAAAAAGAUGCUUCGUAAAGGGGCUUUUACAGAUCAAAAUUUUGACCAGGAUCUGAAUUUUCAUGCUACAGAAGAGGAUCCAGUUACAAAAAAGACUAUUAAGCGAUUGAUUCUCAAUAUGAAGCCUAAAGAUAUUGGAUCAAUUAUUACAGGUUCUUCUGGUGAGGAUCCUAAGAUGAUAGCUGAUUUUAAAGAUCUUUUAGAUAAAAUGUUUGUUUUGGAUCCAGAUAAACGGCUGACAGUAUCACAAGCAUUGAGUCAUCCAUUCAUCACUGGCAAGUGAACCCUGUUGCUGAUUUUCUGACUCCAGAAUUCCUGUUCUGCUAGAUAUUUGUGCAUUAUGACUUAAUUUCAUAUUCAGUUUCUAAUUGUUGGGCAUUGUCUCUCCUCUGUGAUGGCCUGAGAGCUUUUGACACAGUUUUGGCAUGGUUGGAGACAAAAGGGGUGAUGUUUCGUGGGAAUACUCAUUUCUGACAAGUUCUUUCAGGGGAAUGUACUGUUUCGAUUGAUUUCUGCCACUGCUUUGAGGCAUUCCUUCAGUGCUUAGAUGCAUAAAAUGGCACCCAGGAGAAGAGGCAUGUGCACUUGGAGGCUUGUGGUUGCUGCUAUGAGAAAGUUUCUUCAAGGUACUGCCUCCAUACUAAUGAAAAUUUGGUAAGUAUACUUCUUUCAUAUUAUUCUUAUCAUCCUUGGCCAUGUUGGUACUAUCAAUUGUUCCUGAUAUCAAGUCUAAUGUUAUUUCUAAUAUUCUUGCAUAUAACCAUAGGGUCCUUGUAAUGCUAAAGAAAUAAGGUUUUGUUUUGUGCUAUCCUCUACAAGGUCAAAUAUAAGCCUAAAGUGGUUGUACCCAUAGCCCUCUCGUUUCUUGAUGAGUAUUUAAUGUUAUAGGGAAAAUUGAAGGAUGUGGAAGGAGGUGAAUAGAAAAUCCACGAAGAAACAAAGUUUCUAAGCCCAAGACAUUCUUUGAUGAAUUUUUGGGUAAAAAACAAGAGCAUAGUUUAUUUCUGAUAUCUUUUAGGGUAUGUUUGGCACACUGGAUUAGGUCAUGGAAUGGAAUAAACAUAUUCCUUAUUGCUAUGUUUGGUUAAGUAUUUUGAUGAGGACUAUCUAUUCCUACAGAUUAGCUAUCCUAAAUCUGAAGAAUUAUCCUUCCUUUUUGAAAAUAUAGGAAUAUCUAUUCCAUACAUUUAUGGGAAAAAAAUUAUGCCCAGUCUGUAACAACUGUCUGAAACCGCUGCUUAAUCUUCUCUCUCUCUCUCUCUUUUGGCUCAAUGUAUAAUGUCUUGCUUCUCUCUUUUUGUAUUUUUUAUUUUUUAUUUUUUUCCCUUCCUCUUCUUCUUUAUAUCUAUUUGUAUUUUCCUUUUCCUUCUAUUGCAUCAUUGCCUUCAACCUUUUUUUCCCCCCCCCCCCCCCCCCCCCCCUCGUUAUUCUAUAUCAAUGCCAAAACCAGUUUCUUCUUCCUCUUUUAUGCUAGUUUCAAAACUAAUAAAUGAGAAUGUUGGUUAAAAGAAGUUUGACAAUGGUAGGACUUUGAUUGAUUAUAUUGUCUGGUAUAAUACCUGUAUAAUGAUGGGUUCAUGAUUUUGAUUUUAAUUUUGGAUUUGAAAGAAAAAAAGCUCAUGUGGAGAUAUGGAGAUUGUGAAGAAGAAAAUAACAUAUUUCCUUUUAUUUUUACUUUUUCAUAUAUAUAUAUAUAUAUAUAUAUAUUUUUCCUAUUCAAGGCUAUAAACUUUUGUUGCAGCCAAAUUCAUGAUUAUGAAUAGUUAUUCUAUUCCUGUACUUUUUAUCACUGGGAAUAACCAUUCUUAAUUCACCUGGAAUAGUGAAUCUGUCUACCAAACGUGUCCUUAGUUUCUUGAAAGGCUAUUGGACUCGAAAUGUGGCUUAUCUUAUUUUUAUCUGACAUUGUCGAACUGUUGGAGGGCUAUGAUCAUACAUGCUCGAUUAUGUUUUUCAAUGCACAGUGCAUUUUUGUGUUUCAAUGCUUCUUACUUUCUUGGUAGAAAUAAUGGAAAAUUGUAACAUUCAUAGGUUGCAAAGAACCUAAAUUUCUCUUUGAAGAAUUUAAAGGGUUUUUCAUAGAAUCAUAGGGCAUGUGAAUCUUUCAACUUUUUUUCUACUUUUGCUUUUUUCUGGAGGUAAAUUUACUAUCUGUACUUAUCUUUACAGGUAGUAUGUCUCAUGUAAAAUCUACUCGACAAAAACCAUGGUUUUUUUUUUUUUUUUGGGGGGGGGGGGGGGGGGGGGGGGAGAUAAAGGUGAUUAAAAUGAUGGGGGGGGGGAAGUCAUUCUCGGAAACUAAAGUUCCAUCUUUCUAUUUUUUUGCUGGAAAAUUUCGGACUUAGAAGAAUUGAUGAAUGUGACCUGGUUUGUUUGCUGACAUGAACCCUAUAGAAUGGUCUGAAAAGUCAUUUUACUUGUGUGUGUUCAAGUGUUUUCCUAGUUUUGUGUUGUCAACAUUUUACAGUUCAGUAAUAUCUAUGGCAUGUCUCCUGUUAUAUUGUUGAGUUUAUUCAGAUGGACGCAUACAAUUCUGUAUAAUUUUUCAAUUUACUUAUUUUUCUUGUAGUAUUGCCUGUUCAAAUGCUGCUGGUGUUUUUUGUUUUUGUGUUACUUGAAUGUUUAUAUUUCUUCCGAAAAUUGGUUUGUUUUUGUGUGUAUUUGUAUGUUCAGUCGAGUUUUGAGUGGAUACUGAUUCUCAUCACAAUUUGAGACACCUUGGUGGCAUUUCCGAAGCCUCGUUUAUUUAUGUCUUUUAUUGUUCUUCGUCUUGUUAUGGUCUCGCUGGCACAAGAUUUGGUGGUGUUCAGAUUUCUAAGUGUGAGAGGGGAUCAUAGCUGUGUUCUAAAUGCAGGCGACGUUAGUUUAAGGUCUACUAGUUUAACAUUUGUGGGAACUUCAUAAAUAGUUUGCAUGGAUGAUGCACCUCGUGAAGUUCUGCAGUGUUAUAAGAAUUUCCUGUCUCAACGAAAUGAUAUGCCAAAGAUUUUUGUUGAAAUAAAAUUUGUGCAAGAUUUUUACUUGGUUC